rnacentral:SRP_RNA from 1 species
GCCAGGCGUGGUGGUGUGCACCUGUAAUCCCAGCUACUCAGGAGGCUGAGGCAGGAGAAUCACUUGAACCCAGGAGGUGGAGGCUGCAGUGAGCCAAGAUUGCACCACUGCACUCCAGCCUGGGCAACAGAGUGAGAUUCUGUCUCAA